rnacentral:misc_RNA from 1 species
UUGAAAUGCUUUGGAGAAGUACUGUUGCUGGCCUCUUAACAGAGGCAUGUGCACGUCUUCUUUAAAUCUAUUCAUCCACCUGUGCACUUUUUGUAGAAGUUCUUGUGAGGUUUUGGUUGCUUCAUUUUACCCCAACUGUAUGUCAUUAGAAUGUUGUGCCUAUAUAACAUAUA